UAGAUUAUCAUGAAAGAAAGAAGACAAAGAAUCAAUAUCCAAACAAAUGUUGACCUAAAUGCCCCUGCUAUAAAAAUAGAAUCUCAUGAACCACAAUAAUAUUUAAAUCUUUUUUUGCUAUUUUUGCUUGCCACCCACAUAUAAUUGUUUCCGUGGAUAUAUUGAUUUCAUGGUGGAUAACAAGGAACAAGUGGUGAUGAUUGGUGUCCAUUUUAUAAUCAGAGAACAACAAUAGAGAAAGGUAUGGAAUGUCCAACUAAAAUUGGGAAUGACAGUUUCAAGGAUCUCAUCUCUUUGCUGCAGCAUCUUUAGGAUUUGAGCCUUAGGAACCUGCUUAGCCACAAUCCACAGGCAGGGUACUGAUAUGUGGGGUGGGGCCACCACAUUCAACCGCCUGAUAUGCAGUGCUCAUCCAUAGGUUGGUUAUGGUUUAGAUUUUCUCUAGAGUUAAAUGAAAGAAAUAGCAAUGUACUUACAUAUACUUUCAUUUAAUCCUAUUUUAACAUUAUACUUUUAGAGGAUAUUUGAGAUUUCA